AUUGAACGCUGGCGGCAGGCCUAACACAUGCAAGUCGAGCGGAUGAAGGGAGCUUGCUCCUGGAUUCAGCGGCGGACGGGUGAGUAAUGCCUAGGAAUCUGCCUGGUAGUGGGGGAUAACGUCCGGAAACGGGCGCUAAUACCGCAUACGUCCUGAGGGAGAAAGUGGGGGAUCUUCGGACCUCACGCUAUCAGAUGAGCCUAGGACGGAUUAGCUAGUUGGUGGGGUAAAGGCCUACCAAGGCGACGAUCCGUAACUGGUCUGAGAGGAUGAUCAGGCACACUGGGACUUAGACACGGUCCCGACUCCUACGGGAGGCAGCAGUGGGGAAUAUUGGACAAUGGGCGAAAGCCUGAUCCAGCCAUGCCGCGUGUGUGAAGAAGGUCUUCGGAUUGUAAAGCACUUUAAGUUGGGAGGAAGAGCAGUAAGUUAAUACCUUGCUGUUUUGACGUUACCAACAGAAUAAGCACCGGCUAACUUCGUG
rnacentral:rRNA from 1 species